rnacentral:rRNA from 1 species
UACAGAGGUCCCAAGCGUUGUUCGGAUUCAUUGGGCGUAAAGGGUUCGUAGGCGGUGUGGUAAGUCGGGCGUGAAAUCUCGGGGCUUAACUCCGAAACUGCAUUCGAUACUGCCGUGCUUGAGGACUGGAGAGGAGACUGGAAUUUACGGUGUAGCGGUGAAAUGCGUAGAUAUCGUAAGGAAGACCAGUGGCGAAGGCAGGUCUCUGGACAGUACCUGACGCUGAGGCACGAAAGUCAGGGGAGCAAACAGG